rnacentral:rRNA from 1 species
GACGAACGCUGGCGGCGUGCUUAACACAUGCAAGUCGAACGGAAAGGCCCUGCUUGCAGGGUACUCGAGUGGCGAACGGGUGAGUAACACGUGGGUGAUCUGCCCUGCACUUCGGGAUAAGCCUGGGAAACUGGGUCUAAUACCGGAUAGGAGCCAUUUUUUGUGUGAUGGUUUGAACGUUUUUUCGGUGUAGGAUGAGCUCGCGGCCUAUCAGCUUGUUGGUGGGGUAAUGGCCUACCAAGGCGGCGACGGGUAGCCGGCCUGAGAGGGUGGACGGCCACAAUGGGACGGAGAGACGGACCAGACGCCUACGGGAGGCAGCAGUGGGGAAUAGUGCACAAUGGGCGCAAGCCUGAUGCAGCGAAGCCGCGUGGGGGAUGACGGCCUUCGGGUUGUAAACUCCGUUCGCUAGGGACGAAGCUUUUUGUGACGGUACCUAGAUAAGAAGCACCGGCUAACUACGUG